rfam:Candidatus Thiomargarita nelsonii contig_169, whole genome shotgun sequence.
GUAACCGUCCAUAAAUAAGUUAGGCAACUAAGGUAUUUUAAGGUUACCCGUCUAAGUUCUUCGGAACUACGUUAGGAAUGAAAAUAUAGGCACCUUGAGAUGCUUCGGAAGUUUCAAGCUCUGCGGAGAGUCAUUAAACAGUUCUGAUGGAAAGGGCAGUGUGGCUUUCAGAUAAAACCAUUCUAUAACAUUGACUAGGAGACCAUUAC